CGGACGGGUGAGUAAUGUCUGGGAAACUGCCCGAUGGAGGGGGAUAACUACUGGAAACGGUAGCUAAUACCGCAUAACGUCGCAGGACCAAAGAGGGGGACCUUCGGGCCUCUUGCCAUCGGAUGUGCCCAGAUGGGAUUAGCUAGUAGGUGGGGUAAAGGCUCACCUAGGCGACGAUCCCUAGCUGGUCUGAGAGGAUGACCAGCCACACUGGAACUGAGACACGGUCCAG
rnacentral:rRNA from 1 species